AAUGAACGCUGGCGGCAGGCCUAACACAUGCAAGUCGAACGGAUCCUUCGGGAUUAGUGGCGGACGGGUGAGUAACGCGUGGGAACAUACCCUUUGGUACGGAAUAGCCUCGGGAAACUGGGAGUAAUACCGUAUGUGGUCGAGAGACGAAAGAUUUAUCGCCAAAGGAUGGGCCCGCGUUGGAUUAGGUAGUUGGUGGGGUAAUGGCCUACCAAGCCGACGAUCCAUAGCUGGUUUGAGAGGAUGAUCAGCCACACUGGGACUGAGACACGGCCCAGACUCCUACGGGAGGCAGCAGGGGGGAAUCUUAGACAAUGGGGGAAACCCUGAUCUAGCCAUGCCGCGUGAUCGAUGAAGGCCUUAGGGUUGUAAAGAUCUUUCAGGUGGGAAGAUAAUGACUGUACCACCAGAAGAAGCCCCGGCUAACUCCGUGCCAGCCGCCGCGGUAA
rnacentral:rRNA from 1 species